rnacentral:rRNA from 1 species
UGAGUAACACGCGGACAAUCUGCCCUGGAGUGGGGGACAAUCUCGGGAAACUGAGGAUAAUACCCCAUAGGUGUGGUGUGCUGGAAUGCUUCCACGCUCAAAGCUCCGGCGCUCCAGGAUGAGUCUGCGGCCUAUCAGGCUGUAGUGGGUGUAACGGACCCACUAACCGACGACGGGUAGGGGCGUUGAGAGACGGGGCCCCCAGAUGGAUUCUGAGACACGAAUCCAGGCCCUACGGGGCGCAGCAGCUACGAAAACUGUGCAAUGUGGGAAACCACGACACGGGCAUACCGAGUGCCAAGGCUUUGCUUUGGCUGUUCUUUCGCCUAAAAAGCGAGAGAAGUAAGGGCCGGGUAAGACGGGUGCCAGCCGCCGCGGUAAUACCCGCGGCCCGAGUGGUGCUCAUUAUUAUUGAGCUUAAAGCGUCCGUAGCCGGCCUCGUAAAUCUUUGGGUAAAUCGGGCAGCUUAACUGUUCGAAUUCCGAGGAGACUGCGAGGCUCGGGACCGGGAGAGGUUCGAGGUACUCCGGGGGUAGGGGUAAAAUCCUGUAAUCCUGAGAGGACCACCAGUGGCGAAGGCGUCGAACUAGAACGGAUCCGACGGUGAGGGACGAAGCCCUGGGGCGCAAACGGGAUUAGAUACCCCGGUAGUCCAGGGUGUAAACGCUGCGGGCUUGGUGUCGGAGGUCCUACGUGGGCGUCCGGUGCCGGAGAGAAAUUGUUAAGCCUGCCGCUUGGGGAGUACGGUCGCAGACUGAAACUUA